rnacentral:sRNA from 1 species
CUAGAAUAGAGACCUCCUUGGCCCGGUAACCAUGGUAACAUAAUAAACAGAACGAUACAGCUAUGGUAGAGAAGAGUCACAGGAAACUCACCCACCUUUUCUCCCCACCACCACUCCCCUCCCCACUACUUGCAAAUGAUUUUGGGAGGCAGCAGACUAUGUAGGAAGUGGCAGGUUCACUGAAGGUGGGAUUUCAGGAUGCAGCUUCCGUGAGGUCCGCGAUGGGCGGGCUGGGACGUCGUGAAGAUGCAGCUGUUACCCACACUCCUGUAUGUAAGCCCUCACCCACACUCCAACACAUUUGAUAUAUGUUCUUCACAUGGUCUCAUGAGGGAGAGGCUGAGGAAGCAGAGGUCCAGACCCUUCCUGUACUUGGGGCAUCUCUGAAGGACCACUCCAGCCCUAGAAUUCCUCGCAGGAUCAGAGGAGAUCCUUGCAGCAUUUGCAACAUAAUUCAGCAUAUUUCUCUGCCAGUCAAGUCACCUACACUGAUUAGAGCUGCGACACAUGAACUCACAGCUUUGGGACAGAGUGCACAAGACUUGGGAAAGCUGAAGCCACAUGAAAUCCAGCAUGGAGGGGGAGUGAGCACAAAGUCUCAGCCUUUGCUCGUUGCAAUUGGACUCUUGGUGCUGAUAUCGCUAGUUGAUACCGACUUUCUGGGAAGGACAACAAAAACAGAGUCCACAGUCCAAGCCACUUGAGUACCUAGAAGUGAGAACAGAAAAACAAGGGAUUGGUUGGAGUAACCAAGGAAACCAUUUGAUGGGGUGCUGAGAUUAAAAGUGUAUACCACUGGGCCUGCCCCUGUUUGGGCUCUUCAAGAAGAUCAUGGGAGGAAUUACUAUAACUGGGAAAUCUGAUCCAACAUGAUUUGGGAGGGAGGUGGGGGAGUUCCAGCCUAGCCCUAUGAGUGCCACCCACCUCGUAAACAUUCACAGAAAAAGUUCUUUAAACCCCAGUGUGUUGCUACAUACCUCCUCCCACCAGUCCACUCUGGGAUGUAUGUAUUACUUUGCUUUACUAAAUAAAACUCUUUC